rnacentral:rRNA from 1 species
GAUGAACGCUGGCGGCGUGCCUAAUACAUGCAAGUCGAGCGAACAGACGAGGAGCUUGCUCCUCUGACGUUAGCGGCGGACGGGUGAGUAACACGUGGAUAACCUACCUAUAAGACUGGGAUAACUUUGGGAAACCGGAGCUAAUACCGGAUAAUAUAUUGAACCGCAUGGUUCAAUAGUGAAAGACGGUUUUGCUGUCACUUAUAGAUGGAUCCGCGCCGCAUUAGCUAGUUGGUAAGGUAACGGCUUACCAAGGCAACGAUGCGUAGCCGACCUGAGAGGGUGAUCGGCCACACUGGAACUGAGACACGGUCCAGACUCCUACGGGAGGCAGCAGUAGGGAAUCUUCCGCAAUGGGCGAAAGCUUGACGGAGCAACGCCGCGUGAGUGAUGAAGGUCUUCGGAUCGUAAAACUCUGUUAUUAGGGAAGAACAAAUGUGUAAGUAACUAUGCACGUCUUGACGGUACCUAAUCAGAAAGCCACGGCUAACUACGUG